rnacentral:rRNA from 1 species
UACAGAGGUCCCAAGCGUUGUUCGGAUUCAUUGGGCGUAAAGGGUGUGUAGGUGGCGCCGUAAGUCGGGUGUGAAAUCUCGGGGCUUAACUCCGAAACUGCAUUCGAUACUGCGGUGCUUGAGGACUGGAGAGGAGACUGGAAUUCAUGGUGUAGCAGUGAAAUGCGUAGAUAUCGAGAGGAACACCUGCGGCGAAGGCGGGUUGCUGGGCUGACACUGACGCUGAUGCGCGAAAGCCAGGGGAGCGAGCGGG